rnacentral:tRNA from 1 species
UAAGAAUUAGUUAAAUUAUAACAUUAAUAUGUCAAAUUAAAUUUAUUACAAAUGUAAUAUUCUUUU